CCUUUUUUCAAUCCUCCCUGCAAUUGGCUACUUUUAGGAUCCUGCUGAUUGGUGUGUUUUACAGAGUGCUGAUUGGUGCGUUUUACAGAGCGCUGAUUGGUGCAUUUUAUAAUCCUCUUGCUAACUACAGAGCACUGAUUGGUGUGUUUUACAAUCCUCUUGUAAGACAGAAAAGUUCUCCAAGUCCCCACUCGACCCAGGAAGUCCAGCUGGCUUCGCCUCUCACUGGAAUUACAGUUACAGAGGCUGAGAAGUCCAAGAUCAAGGGACCACAUCCAGUGAGAGCCUUCUUGCUGGUGGGACUGAUAUGGUUUGACUGUUUUGUCCCCUAUACAUCUCGUUUCAUGUGACCUCUGAUGUUGGAGGUGGGCCUAGUAGGAGGUGUUUGGGUCAUAGGGGUGCAUCCCUCAUAAAUGGCUUGGUGUGUCCUCACAGUAAUGAGUGAAUUUCAAUCUGUGAGUUCACGUGAGAUCUGGUUGUUCAAGAGCCUGGCAGCUCCUCCCUCUCUCUCUUGCUCCUUCCCUUGCCAUGCCACACGCUGGCUCCCCCUUCAGCUUCUGCCACGAUUGUAAGCUUCUUGAGGCCUCACAGGAGCAGCUGUUGGUGCCAUGCUUCAUGUACAUCCUGCAGAACCAUGAACCAAAUAAAUCUUUUUUCUUUAUAAAUUACCCACCUUCAAGUAUUCCUUCAUAGCAACCCCAAAAUGGACUAACAGAGGGACUUUCUGUAGAGUUCCAAGGCAACAUGGGGUAUCACAUGGGGAGGAGAAUGAGCAUGCUAACAUGCUUGCACAGGUCUUUUUUCCUCUUCUUAUACAGUCACCAGUUCCCCUCCCAAAAUAACCCAUUAAUCCAUUUACCCACUAAUCCAUUAAUCUAUGAAUGGAUUAAUCCAUUCAUGAGGACAAAGCCCUCAUAAUCCAAUCACCUCUUAAAGGCCCCACCUCUUAAUAUUGCUACAUUGAGGACUAUAUUUCAACACAAGUUUUGAAGGAGACAAAUAUUCAAACCACAGCAAAUACAUUCUCCAAACCAUACACAGAUCUAUCAGCAAAGAGUGGGGACCUAACUGGCUUGAGAUGUUUGAACCAAACCUCUGACUAAUCUUUGGCUGACAAAAUAUGCUGAAACAAGAGUAAUUCUAGAAAGCCUCUCUUUAAAAAAUGUGAGUGCAGACAUUAGCAGCCUCACAUUGUAGUGGAGACAAAUUCCACAGAAUUAGUCCAGACAAGUGUAUCAUACAAACAGCAACCCCCUUUGGGGCAAAUCACAAUGUAGCAUUCCUAUAACAUAAUGUGUACAAUGCCAGUUUUUUUUUGUUUUUUUUUUUGAGACAGAGUCUCACUCUGUUGCCAGGCUGGAGUGCAGUGGUGCAAUCUCGGCUCACUGCAACCUCCGCCUCCUGGAUUCAAGCAAUUCUCCUGCCUCAGUCUCCUGAGUAGCUGGGAGUACAGGCGUGCUGAUGGUGGAUUGGAAACAGUGUCAGCAUGACUCUCCCACUUGGAAAGACAAAAUGGUGAGUAGAAAUUCAUACUGUGAACUUUUUUCUAAGAAGCAAUGCAGGAACUGAACAGAAAAACAGAAACCAUAGACCCUUUGAAAGAAGCAGCAGGCUGCAGCCUACACCCACUGUGAGCCAGGUGAAAAAUUGUAAGUCCUCAGAGUGUGACAGGGGGAGAGACUGCCUCCAGGAUAUACAUCCCCACCAGGUAACCUGGCAAUUCAGCCCACAGGGGAAGGCCUUAACCAUACCCAGCACUGGAACUAAUAUAGGGAGUGGUGGGGUAAUAUAAAAGUAGGAGCAGCAGCAAGCAGAGCCUUGCAUGCAUUCCUAGUCUCCAGCACAGACCGAGGGAAGCCACUCCUGAUUCUACGUCACAGAGGGCCUCACGGAAGUCAACUAGCUCAGGCAGAGGUUGCAGGUUGAAAGAAGCUCCCAACUGAAAUUCAUAUAAUCUUGAGUGGGGAUGAACUCCCUUGACCAGAACCAGUGGGUGAGUAAGAAGUGUGCUGCAGCCACAGGCACAGGAACCGGGCACUCUUGCUUUGCAGGUAGAUUGGGAGGGGGCAUGGCCUGAACACUGGUUCCUGUCUCCACAGGGAAGGCUUAUGGCCUAGGGCAGUUUUGAGUUCUGAGCUUACACGGCCUGGAAUUUAGCUAGCGGCUGCUAGUGAACACUAUAGGUGAGAGACCUGCCUUGCCAAGUGCAUGAGAGCUGGGUGAGGCUUGUGAACUCUUUUAUGUGGCAGAGGCAGCUAUGUUCCUUCCUGAAACAUUACCCCAGUGGCCAGAGAAAUGCCCCCUAAACCCCUCAGGAGCCUCUGCUUGCCCUGCACAUGGAGAGCCAAAGCAUGGACCUGCCUAACCCAGCCCCUACCUGGCUUUGCCCCUACACCAGCCCUGGUAGUUCACUACAAGGGACAGCAACUUUUGGGAGCCCUAUGGCCAUUGCCUGAGAAUCCAGAGUACCUCUCUGGGGUAACAUAAGGCAAUUAACAUAAAGCAAAGCAGUUAAUCCCACCACUUCUACUGUAGCUGGUGCUCUAUUGCAAGUACCACCUCCUGGCUGGAGGCCAACUGAUACAUUAUAGCAUCGUUGGGUAGAAUAACCCUGUGCCCAGGAAAGAGAAAACUUGUGCAUGACCUCAGCUAUCACCAUCGCCUGCACCACCCUGGCUAACCAGGAGGUCCUGAUCUGUCCACAUGACAGAUUCAUUGGUACUACAAGCAGCAUUUGAGACAGCCAAUACAUGAAGGCUAUUUACAACCAAGGAAUCUCACAGAGUCUACAUCACUCCCCUGUGACCCGCAUCAGAAGGGGUGUUGGUACUUGCUGCUGGGACAAUUAAGGACUGGUCACAUCACUGGAUCUCUUGCAGACACUCCCCAGCACCAGCCUGGAGUGUGGCAGCUCCACUAGGUGGCUAGACGCAGCAGAGCAGCAGCAUUCACAGUGGUCUGUUUCUUAGGGAAUCCUACUCCUAGGGGAAAACUUCCUAGGGGAAUUGGGUGUGCACCACAUCAAGGGAACACCCCAUGGAACAAAAAAAUCCAGAUGCAGGCCUUGAGUCCUGGAUCUUUCUGCUGAUGGAAAGUCUCUUUCAGCAGAGGCACAGUUACAAUACUGAGCUCAGCAGGGAAAGUCUGAAGCUCUACCCCAACACACAGGUAACCCUGGUGCUCAUGAAGGGUCUUGGAGAAGGGGACUUCUUUUUCCCCUUGUCCACCACUGCAGAAACAACUGGGGCUUUUCCAGUGGGAGCAUGUGUGGGUACACCAUAGAGAGCCUUGCUGGAAAACUUCAGGGUAACUGCAUCCCCACAGUAGAGAGCACCUUCUAUGUUCAGACUUGGAUGAGAGGUAGACUCACGAUUCCUCUCAACUUGGAACAUCAACGUUCCUGCAGACAAAAUGAGGUGCCUGUCUGAUCUGCAUAGCUGGAACACUGAGUCAGGAGUGUGUCUGGGAGGUGGACUGCUUCCCUGCGCCUUGCGGGGGAGCUGAUGUGGCUCCCAAUCUACCCCCUGAUAAGACCUCAGUGUGUUUCACUGAGAGCUCCACCUAUCACCUAUGUCAAGAUUGGGACUUCAGCCCGCCAUUGGGUACUGCAUUUACCUACUACAAUAACCACAACCAGUUUCUACCAGAGAUGUCUCCCCUACUGGCCUGAAGCCUAAAAUAUUCAACCCAGUAAAUAAAAUACAGGGAAAAUAAACAAAUAUAAGUGCACAACACAGGAGAACAAGGUAAGCUUCAAGAUACCUCUGCAAUUCCAACCCCAUUGGAGACAGUGAGCACAAUGCUACUACAACCAUUAUCUGAGAAAGCCAUCAAACAAAGACUUUCUAUAACCAAGGAAUUAAUAGUCUUCACCUCUGAAAGCACCAAGAGUCGAAAUAGGCUACAAUAAAGUCACAUCCUUAAGGGAGAAAAGAUAAAUAAAAAAAACCAACAAUUGAAUAAAAAAUAAAUUCAAGACUAAUUAGAAGAUAUAUUCUACCCAAAUGAGAGAGAGAAAAAAAACAGAAAAAUAAUUCUGGUAAUAUGAAAAAAACAGGAUUCUAUUACACCCCCAAAAGAUCACACUAGCUCUCCAGCAAUGGAUCCAAACCAAGAUGAAAUCUCUGAAAUGCCAGACAAAGAAUUAAAAAGAUUGAUUAUUAAGUUACUCAAGAAGAUACCAGAGAAAGGUGAAAGCCAAUAUAAAGAAAUUUUUUAAAACUUCAGGAUAUGAAUAAAAAAUUUUAUAAAGAAAUAGAUAUUUUAAAGAAAAGCCAAUCAGAACUUCUGGAAAUGAAAGACACAUUUAGGGAAGUACAAUAUGCAUGGAAAAGUUUUAACAAUAGACUAGAACAAGUAGAAUAAAUAGUUUCAGAGCUCAAAGAUAUAGUUUUCAAAUUAAUAAUCAGACAAAAAUAAAGAAAAAAAUCAAAAGAAGUGAAUAAAGUCUCCAAGAAAUAUGGGAUCAUGUAAAAUGGCCAAACCUAAGAAUAACUGGUGUUGCUGAGAGAGAAGACAGCAAACAGUUUGGAAAUUUUAUUCGAGGGAAUAAUUGAGGAAAACUUCUCUGGCCUUGCUAGAGAUAUAGAUAUCCAAAUACAAGAAGCUCAAAAAAUUCCUGGGAGAUUCAUCACAAAAAGGACUUCACCAAGGCAUAUAUAAUAAUCAGUCUAUCUAAAGUCAACAUGACAGAAAGAAUUCUGAGAGCAGUGAGACAAAUGCACCGGGUAACCUAUAAAGGAAAACCUAUCAGACUAACUGCAGGCUUCUCACCAGAAACUUUA
rnacentral:lncRNA from 1 species